UUGGGCAGGAAUUAGGCAGCCCCAGGGGGAAGGCUGGGGGGCUCCCCUCGGCUGGGAGGGUUCUGGGGCUCAGCGGACUGCACACGCCCUCCCCUCCGUCCCCUCCCCUCGCCCAGGGUCCCGCCGGGUUCACCACGCAGCUCCGUCCUUGCUGAGAAUCCAGGCAUCUCCUCUAAUCCUGACGUGCACAGUUAACUCCAGGUCCUGAGUCACAAGUGACAGUGUCAACGGCUGUGCCUUCCGCUGAGACCCCAGGGCUGGCAGGAGAGGAAGGCCGCUCAUCGCAAGCCCGGGCACGCAGGCCAUGUCUCCCCAGCCUCUUUAAGUGCAGGGAUGCUGUGGCCCAGCUUUGGUGGCGCCCUAGAGUUGCUGUCACGAAGUCCGUAGAUCGCGCUCUGAAAGCACGGAAAUGUGUUUGCUCACGAUUCUGGCGGCCAGAAGCCCUAAAUCAAGACGUCAGCAGGGCGUGCUUCCUGUGAAAGGCCUGGGGGACAAUGUGUUCCUUGUCUCUCUCCAGCUCCUGGUGUCGCUGGCCGUCCGUGGGGUUCCUGGGCUGGGGGACGGGUCCCUCUGACCUCAGCCAUGGCGACUGUCCCUGUGUCUCCGGGUGUCCUCUCUUCUUGUAGGGACACCAGCCACUGGAGUCAGGGCCCCCUACUCCAGUCUGACCUCAUCUUAACUAAUUAUAUCUGCAAUGACCCUGUUGCCAAAUAAAAUCACAGUCACAGGCCCCAAGGGGUAGGACAGGGACGUAUCUUCUUGUGGGGAACACGCAGUUGUUAUCCACACUGGACAGGAAAGUGUCUCCCUCCCUUUAGGAGCCACGGAGGGUGGGCUACGGGGUGUGGUCUGUGGUUGGGUCCCCCCCUGGCGGUCACCCAGGUGGGGCCUAUGCUGGCUGUAUUUCACCGGCCUUCCAGGGGACUGUCCCACCCCAAGGAGUCGCCAGGGCUGCCAUCUCUGCCUUUCCGAAGGUGAGCUGCAGCUGUCUGCCUGAAAUGGGGGCUCAGGAAACGUCUGCCUUGGCCGCUGUAGGCUCCGCAGGGGCCCGAGAGAGGGGUGCGCGGGCCCAGGGCAGCUGUGGCGAGGAUUGUCGCUGAGGCUCAAGCGCCGGCCGGGUGUCUGGGGGCCCAUCCCAUCACGGUGGGGACUGUGUGGAAGGUCCAGCGAAGCCAUCCAGGUGGCAGAGGAGGGCGAUCUGGAAGGGGGGUUGGGGGCAGGCACACACAUUCACUGUCAUCUCCCCACCGGCCGAUGGACAGGGUCAGGCACUGUCUUCUGUCGGGGGCACACUGAGCACCUUGACAGUUCACCAACGGCCCCGCCCCUGGGUCCCCAACAGGGGAGCCUGGAAACAGAUCUCUUGCUGCCGGCUGGCCGAGUCUCUGGAGUACAUUUCCGCUACCCUGGGCAGUUAGGGGCAGCCUGAUGGGCACGCCUGGGGAGGAAAUGUGAGCCUGCCGGCAGGGAGGCCCUGUCACCUGAGGCAGGCGACGGGGGCCCUCUCUGCUUCCUUCCACUGAGCCGCCGUGAAACUCCCUGGAGCAGGCUCAGGUGGUGCCUUUGGGGAAGCUUGGGUGCUGUAUGCCCAGCAGCAGUAGCUUGGUCUUCCAGAAGGAUCUCCAGGCUCUAAGCAGCACCCCCUGCUCAAAGGGCCCUGGGCCUCCACCCUCCCAGCCCAGAGACCAGCCCCAGCAUCACCCCCGGGGACAUCGUCCUGCAGAUGCGGCCCUGGGAGGCUGACCGCAGGCAGGAGGUGCUCCCAGGUGGGGUGCAUGUCAAGUGGUUUCUCAAAUAGCACGGGGACACCCUCCUGGUGAGGCGUGAGCCUGAAUGGGUGAACUCUGGCCCAGGGGAGGGGCCUGAAAAGUGGGUGCUAUUAUCACCAUAGUCCAGUGGCCGCCAGGCCUGAAGGCUCUGCCGUCACAUCCAAGUUGACCUUGAGAUAAGGCCGUCUGAUGCCUCCUCUCCUAGCAGGGAGCAGAGACGGGUGUUGGCUGAGCCCUGGGGUGGGGGGAUCACCGUGUGCCCAGGGUGGGGGGCCCUGGCACCCCGGUUUUCUCCUACGCGGGUGACUCCCCGGGGGCUCCCAGGCCAGAGCCGCACCCUCUGGAACUGGUUCUCCUGCGUGCAGUGCUGGGCGGGACAGAAACUGAACAGGCUGUACCCAGGGAUGUAAAUGACCCUGCCUGAGAAAAAGGAAGGGCGGCCCCAGCCCGGAGCAGGCAGCCCCCGUGCCCCCACACAGCUGGCAUGGAAAACUCCCCUGCCCCAGACGCGGCCUCGUCUUGUCUCCGUUCUGGAGGGCGGGGGUAGGAGAGGUGACCCCCGUCGGUCAGACCCCAGGUCCACCCGGGCCUCGUGGGCCUCUCUUGCCCAUCCAGCCACCGCAAACUGGGGAGCCCCCGCCAAGGUGAGCCUGUUUCCACCCCUCAGUUUGAGGCCUAGAGUUGGAAAAGCCAGACUGCAAAGGGGGGUGAGCAAUGCCAACCAUACCGCCAGGAUGCAGGGGCUGGGGGAGGGCAGGGAAGACAGAGGGAGGGAGGGAGGGGCUCCCUGAAGGAGAAGCACUCGCCGCCCCCCCUGCCCCAGCCCCAGGAACUGAGCCCCGGGAGAAGAGUAUUGCUCAACGCAGGAAGGCGAGGCCAGUUGCUGUUUCCGCGGCCGGAGGGGUCUUCAGAGCCCCGGGACAAGUUCGGCAUGGCCCCACUCCUUCCCCUGGGCCUGGAGACGCAGAGUCCCUGCCCUGUGCCUCUCGCUUUCACGAUCCUCACGACAUCCUCACGCACAUUUGAACUGGACGAGAUGGACAUGCUCCCGGGUUUGAAAUGCCCACGCAUCUUUAUUUCCACCGCCAGCGUAUCAUUUGCAGUAUUGAAAUGAGACUUGUAAGAGGCGCUUUGGAACGAAGCCCACUGACAUAGGAAGCUGCCGCGGGCGUGACGCGCCCGAGUCCCCACUGGCCAGCCCUCUACCCACGGGACGACAGACCGCUCUCCCGGGAAACGCCUUCGGAUCUCCGCAUCUCACAUGUGGGAUUUUUCCCUGAUGCGUUUGCCGCGUGGCCUGAUCGUACAGCCCCUGUAAGGGUCUCCGUGUGCCCCUCCCCCAGCCCCUCGUGUCCCCAUCCCUGAGCUGCUGCUUCAGGGAGUCAACUCUGUUCAUGACAUGAAGAAUAAAAUUAAACAGGAAACGGAAGGGCUUUUUCUGGGGCGUGUGAACUCUUGGGACAGCUGUGUGACCACUGUGUCACCGUGCAGAGCGUCCAUCUCACUCCGGGGGCGGGAGAGGACAAGGCGGACGUGCGCCAGGACCCUGGGAGCUGUGCGUGGGCCUGUGCGGACCUCCCGCCCCUCCUGGGAGAAGAGACAGACUGCUUCCUGCCCCGCGGUGGCCCUUCCAGGGGCAUUCCCUGGGAUGGCCACGCCUCUGCCUGAAGACCAUCCUCGCACCCCAGCAGAAAGUACCCCCUUUCCAGAGCUUCGCAGAGUGACACUGGAGAACCGGGGGUUAAACUCUUGAGUUUAUGAAACAAGAACCAAAGACCAAGCUUCUGGUAAGAUGUGUUGGUGGAAAUGUCUGGAAAGAGGAGGUCAGCUUAGCGGCACUGGGUGGAGAACGAGCUGGGAGUCCCCACACACAGCGCAGGCAGAGCCGGAGGGCUGCCCGUCCUUCUCGGCGGAGCCGGUGGGGGGCCUGCAGGAGGGGCGGCAAUCGGGGUCGGUCCCACCGAGGACGCCGGGCAGCCGAUCCGACAGAUCUGACAGAUCUGCGCUUUUCUUCUCUCCUUUAAGAAAGUUUUUCUAAAAUUAACUUUUUUGUUUACUUUAACAAGUUGAAGAAC